GCUUACGGCAAUAUCACGUUGAAUACACCGGUUCUCAUCCGAUCACCGAAGUUAAGCAACGUCGAGCCUAGUUAGUACUUAGAUGGCGUGGCUGUGUGGAUAGAAGCU
rnacentral:rRNA from 1 species